rnacentral:rRNA from 1 species
GAUCAUGGCUCAGGAUGAACGCUAGCGACAGGCUUAACACAUGCAAGUCGAGGGGCAGCGGGGGUAGCAAUACCCGCCGGCGACCGGCGCACGGGUGAGUAACGCGUAUGCAACUUACCUAUCAGAGGGGGAUAACCCGGCGAAAGUCGGACUAAUACCGCAUGAAGCAGGGAUCCCGCAUGGGAAUAUUUGCUAAAGAUUCAUCGCUGAUAGAUAGGCAUGCGUUCCAUUAGG